AUUGAACGCUGGCGGCAGGCUUAACACAUGCAAGUCGAGCGGGGAAAUAUAGCUUGCUAUAUGACCUAGCGGCGGACGGGUGAGUAAUGCUUAGGAAUCUGCCUAUUAGUGGGGGACAACAUUUCGAAAGGGAUGCUAAUACCGCAUACGCCCUACGGGGGAAAGCAGGGGAUCUUCGGACCUUGCGCUAAUAGAUGAGCCUAAGUCGGAUUAGCUAGUUGGUGGGGUAAAGGCCUACCAAGGCGACGAUCUGUAGCGGGUCUGAGAGGAUGAUCCGCCACACUGGGACUGAGACACGGCCCAGACUCCUACGGGAGGCAGCAGUGGGGAAUAUUGGACAAUGGGGGGAACCCUGAUCCAGCCAUGCCGCGUGUGUGAAGAAGGCCUUUUGGUUGUAAAGCACUUUAAGCGAGGAGGAGGCUCCUGUAGAUAAUACCUACAGUGAGUGGACGUUACUCGCAGAAUAAGCACCGGCUAACUCUGUGCCAGCCGCCGCCGUAA
rnacentral:rRNA from 1 species